rnacentral:rRNA from 1 species
AUUGAACGCUGGCGGCAGGCCUAACACAUGCAAGUCGAGCGGAUGAAGGGUGCUUGCACCCCGAUUCAGCGGCGGACGGGUGAGUAAUGCCUAGGAAUCUGCCCGAUAGUGGGGGACAACGUUUCGAAAGGAACGCUAAUACCGCAUACGUCCUACGGGAGAAAGUGGUGGCUCUUCGGACCUCACGCUAUCGGAUGAGCCUAGGUCGGAUUAGCUAGUUGGUGGGGUAAAGGCUCACCAAGGCGACGAUCCGUAACUGGUCUGAGAGGAUGAUCAGUCACACUGGAACUGAGACACGGUCCAGAAUCCUACGGGAGGCAGCAGUGGGGAAUAUUGGACAAUGGGGGCAACCCUGAUCCAGCGAUGCCGCGUGAGUGAAGAAGGCCUUCGGGUCGUAAAGCUCUUUAGGUUGGGAAGAAGGGUAUUGGCUGAAUAAUCCAGUACUUUGACGGUACCGACAGAAUAAGCACCGGCAAACUCUGUGCCAGCCGCCGCCGUAAUAC